rnacentral:rRNA from 1 species
GUUUGAUUCCCGCUCAGAUUGAACGCUGGCGGCAGGCCUAACACAUGCAAGUCGAGCGGUAACAGAGAGUAAGCUUGCUUACUUUGCUGACGAGCGGCGGACGGGUGAGUAAUGCCUAGGGAUCUGCCCAGUCGAGGGGGAUAACAGUUGGAAACGACUGCUAAUACCGCAUACGCCCUACGGGGGAAAGGAGGGGACCUUCGGGCCUUCCGCGAUUGGAUGAACCUAGGUGGGAUUAGCUAGUUGGUGAGGUAAUGGCUCACCAAGGCGACGAUCCCUAGCUGUUCUGAGAGGAUGAUCAGCCACACUGGGACUGAGACACGGCCCAGACUCCUACGGGAGGCAGCAGUGGGGAAUAUUGCACAAUGGGGGAAACCCUGAUGCAGCCAUGCCGCGUGUGUGAAGAAGGCCUUCGGGUUGUAAAGCACUUUCAGUAGGGAGGAAAGGUGGUAGUUUAAUAAACUAUCACUGUGACGUUACCUACAGAAGAAGGACCGGCU